rnacentral:rRNA from 1 species
GAUGAACGCUGGCGGCGUGCCUAAUACAUGCAAGUCGAGCGAACAGAUGAGGAGCUUGCUCCUCUGACGUUAGCGGCGGACGGGUGAGUAACACGUGGAUAACCUACCUAUAAGACUGGGAUAACUUCGGGAAACCGGAGCUAAUACCGGAUAAUAUAUUGAACCGCAUGGUUCAAUAGUGAAAGACGGUUUUGCUGUCACUUAUAGAUGGAUCCGCGCCGCAUUAGCUAGUUGGUAAGGUAACGGCUUACCAAGGCAACGAUGCGUAGCCGACCUGAGAGGGUGAUCGGCCACACUGGAACUGAGACACGGUCCAGACUCCUACGGGAGGCAGCAGUAGGGAAUCUUCCGCAAAGGGCGAAAGCCUGACGGAGCAACGCCGCGUGAGUGAUGAAGGUCUUCGGAUCGUAAAACUCUGUUAUUAGGGAAGAACAAAUGUGUAGGUAACUAUGCACGUCUUGACGGUACCUAAUCAGAAAGCCACGGCUAACUACGUG